AUUUAUAUAAUAUAAAAAGUAUAUUUAAUUUCCAAUUAAAAAGUUUAAAUUUAAUAAUAUAAAUA
rnacentral:tRNA from 1 species